GGAAUAUUGCACAAUGGGGGAAACCCUGAUGCAGCCAUGCCGCGUGUGUGAAGAAGGCCUUCGGGUUGUAAAGCACUUUCAGUAGGGAGGAAAGGUAGCAGCUUAAUACGCUGUUGCUGUGACGUUACCUACAGAAGAAGGACCGGCUAACUCCGUGCCAGCAGCCGCGGUAAUACGGAGGGUCCGAGCGUUAAUCGGAAUUACUGGGCGUAAAGCGUGCGCAGGCGGUUUGUUAAGCGAGAUGUGAAAGCCCCGGGCUCAACCUGGGAAUUGCAUUUCGAACUGGCGAACUAGAGUCUUGUAGAGGGGGGUAGAAUUCCAGGUGUAGCGGUGAAAUGCGUAGAGAUCUGGAGGAAUACCGGUGGCGAAGGCGGCCCCCUGGACAAAGACUGACGCUCAUGCACGAAAGCGUGGGGAGCAAACAGGAUUAGAUACCCUUG
rnacentral:rRNA from 1 species